rnacentral:rRNA from 1 species
AAGCUUGAAAGCUAGCCAGACCUUAAAAGAAAAACAUUCAGUUGCAUUAACCUUAAAAGAUUAGUAAUUCAUCGAAACAAAUCAUUUUUCCACCUAAGUAUAGGAGAUAGAAAAGGACUCCAGUGAGCGAUAGACAAAGUACCGCAAGGGAACGCUGAAAGAGAAAAUGAAAUAAACCAGGUAAGCCCUAAGAAGCAGAGAUUAGACCUCCUACCUUUUGCAUCAUGUUCUAGCCAGUAAUACCCAAGCAAAACGUAUUGUAGUUUGAUACCCCGAAACUAGGCGAGCUACUCCGGGGCAGCCCAAGGGGGCACACCCGUCUCUGUGGCAAAAGAGUGGGAAGACUCCCGAGUAGAAGUGACAGACUAACCGAGCCUAGUUAUAGCUGGUUGCUUAAGAAAUGAAUAGAAGUUCAGCCUCUUGGCUUCUCCCGCCCAAUAAACCACCUGUUUGGCCAAAAGUAAGCCCUGAGAGUUAAUCAAAGAAGGUACAGCUUCUUUGAAAAAAGACACAACUUUUAAAGCAGGAUAAAGAUCAAAGUAAAUGAAGGCAAUAUGUCCAGGUAGGCCUAAAAGCAGCCAUCCACCAAGAAAGCGUUAAAGCUCGAGUAUUGCCAUCGCCCCUUAUUCUGACAACCUUGUCUUACUCCCCAAUUUUUAUUAAGCCCUCCUAUUUCCGUAUAGGAAAGACCAUGCUAGUAUUAGUAGUAAGAGAACAUAACGCUUCUCUCCCCGCACGCGUGUAAGUCGGAUUGGACAAACCACCGAUUAUUAACGACCCCAACCCAAGAGGGUAUUGAGUAAAUAUUACGCCCGACUAGAAAACCACUCAACAAAUAACGUUAACCCUACACCGGUGUGCUAUUCAGGAAAGACUAAAUGAAAAGGAAGGAACUCGGCAAACACAAGCCUCGCCUGUUUACCAAAAACAUCGCCUCUUGCAAACUCAAUAAAUAAGAGGUCCUGCCUGCCCUGUGAAUAAUAAUUUUAACGGCCGCGGUAUUUUGACCGUGCGAAGGUAGCGAAAUCACUUGUCUCUUAAAUAGAGGCCCGUAUGAAAGGCAAAACGAGGGCUUUACUGUCUCCCUUUUUAAGUCAACGAAAUUGAUCUCCCCGUGCAGAAGCGGGGAUAACCACAUUAGACGAGAAGACCCUAUGGAGCUUUAGACACCAAAGCAGUCCACGUAAAUACCCUUAUACCAAUAAGACUAAACUAAUUGUUACCCUGCCCUAUUGUCUUCGGUUGGGGCGACCAUGGGGAAAAACUAAACCCCCACGAGGAAUAGAACUACAAUACUCCUUAACUAAGAGCGCCAGCUCUAAGAAUCAGAACUUCUGACCCCCCGAUCCGGCGUAAUAGCCGAUUAACGAACCAAGUUACCCUAGGGAUAACAGCGCAAUCCCCUUCUAGAGCCCAUAUCGACAAGGGGGUUUACGACCUCGAUGUUGGAUCAGGACAUCCUAAUGGUGCAGCCGCUAUUAAGGGUUCGUUUGUUCAACGAUUAAAGUCCUACGUGAUCUGAGUUCAGACCGGAGUAAUCCAGGUCAGUUUCUAUCUAUGACACCAACCUUUUUCCAGUACGAAAGGACCGAAAAAUAGGAGCCCCUGCCCCAAGCACGCCCCACCCUCAACUACUUAAUUCAACUCAAGUAGGCAAGAGAGUGAAAUUACCUUAUGCUUAAGAUAAAAGUAA